rnacentral:lncRNA from 1 species
CCAUAGACCGUUUAAUAAAAAAUAUAUGCAUACGGAUAUCCGUACCCGAUCUAGACCCGACCAAUACUCGAUUCAUACCCGGUCUUAAGUGAGUAGUAGACGGAUCGUCACUAUCCAGACCCGCUCAAAUAAACCUGAUGGGUAUAUUAUUAACUUAAGUACUCAAAUGCGGAUCCAAUCCGAAGUUAAAUGGGUAGGAUAUAUUUUUUUUGUAUCCAUUUGUUUUUAGGGUACGGAUAUAGUAUAUCAAUUACCCAGACCCAACCCGGUCCACAG